ensembl:misc_RNA 7SK 7SK RNA
GGAUAUGGAUACGAUCUGGCUGUGACAUCUGUCACCCCAAUUGAUUGCCAGGGUUGAUUUGGCUGAUCGAGUUGGCUAGGCAGGUGUCCCCUUCCUCCCUCAGUGGUCCACAUGUUCCUUCCAAAGCUGCGUGCUCAGUUGAGGAGGAUGACUACCCCUGAUAGAGGAGGACUGUUCCUAGAUCAAGGCUAUACAAGUAGCUGUGCUCCCCUGCUAGAACCUCCAAACAAACUCUCAAGGUGAUAUACAUGGUUCCAAAGUAAAUCCCAAGGAGAUUUAACUGACCUUGAU